CGGGUGAGUAACGCGUGAGCAACCUUUCCUUCACAGGGGGAUAAGAUACCGAAAGGUGUUCUAAUACCGCAUGAGACCACAGAGCCACAUGGCUUAGGGGUCAAAGGAGGAAUCCGGUGAAGGGUGGGCUCGCGUCCGAUUAGCUAGUUGGUGAGGUGACGGCCCACCAAGGCGACGAUCGGUAGCCGACCUGAGAGGGUGAUCGGCCACAUUGGAACUGAGAGACGGUCCAG
rnacentral:rRNA from 1 species